GUGCUAAGGUAGCAUAAUAAUUUGUCUCUUACUUUGAGAAUAGAAUGAACGAAUAAGCAAUAAGAUAACUGUCUCAUUAUAAUCCCUAAAAAUUUAUUUAAAGGUGAAAAAGCCUGUAUACUCUAAAAAGACAAAAAGACCCUAGAAACUUAUAAAUAAAAUUUAUAAAUUAAAAUAAAAUUUUUUAGCUGGGAGGGCUUAAAGUUAACAUAACACUUUAAAUUUAAAAGAAAUAUAUCACAUUAAUCAACCCCUAUCAGAAUAUAAGUAAGCUACUCUAGGGGUAACAGACUAAUACUCCUUAAGAGUACAUAUUGACAGGAGUGUUUAGCACCUCGAUGUUGGCUUAGGAAUCUAAUUUUAUGCAGAAGUAAAAUCAAGAGGUUUGUUCAACCUUUAAUUUCCUACGUGAUCUGAG
rnacentral:rRNA from 1 species